GCUCAGUGGUAAAGAAUCUGCCUGCCAGUGCAGGGGUUGUAUGAGACGCGGGUUCGCUCCUUGGUUCGGGAAGAUCCCCUGGAGGAGGGCAUGGCGGCCCACUCCAGAAUUCUUGCCUGGAGAAUCCCAUGGACAGAGGAGCCUGGCGGGCUGCAGUCCAUAGGAUCG